rnacentral:rRNA from 1 species
AUUGAACGCUGGCGGCAGGCCUAACACAUGCAAGUCGAGAGAGCGGCGGACGGGUGAGUAAUGUCUAGGAAACUGCCUGAUGGAGGGGGAUAACUACUGGAAAAGGUAGCUAAUACCGCAUACCAGCAGAGUUGCCCAGAUGGGAGUAGCUAGUAGGUGGGGUAACGGUUCACCAAGGCGACGAUCCCGAGCUGGUCUGAGAGGAUGACCCGCCACACUGGAACUGAGACACGGUCCAGACUCCUACGGGAGGCAGCAGUGGGGAAUAUUGCACAAUGGGCGCAAGCCUGAUGCAGCCAUGCCGCGUGUGUGAAGAAGGCCUUCGGGUUGUAAAGCACUUUCAGCUGGGAGGCGUUACCCGCAGAAGAAGCACCGGCUAACUCCGUGCCAGCAGCCGCGGUAAUUC